UAUAUUAUAUAUUAUAUAUAAGAGUAAAAGAAGUUCUUGAAAAUCCGUCAACCAUCAUCACACAAAGAGCUUUAAACACUAAAGCGAACAAUACUUGUUGACCUGCACCAUCAUAUGUUGCAUAUAAAACUCCAGAUACCCAUCAGUUAGUACACUCAAGGCCCUGAUAAAGUUUAAACAGUUUAAACAUGUUUAUAUUGAAAAGCAUUGGAACCAUGAACAUAGUGUUCACCCAAUCAAAGCGACAGUGAGGGGAAUGAAGAAGUAUACAAAGCGCUUUAGAAUUAGUUCAUUAAUGUACAUUUCAGUUAAUGUUUUGAGUUUGUCAUAUUUCAAAAUCACUAUUUUGCUGCCUCCUAAACGACUUGCUUAAAAGAGGCUCAGCUACUGGACUUCACUAUGCAUCACAGGAAUUACCACUGGAGUAGUGUUGUGAUCGGUUGAGACUGAAACUAAAAUUAUUUGCCCUGCACACACCAGCAGGCGCUUUUUUUUUUUUUUAAAUGGGGCACACAAGGAUAAUAAUACUGAUACCGGAUAUUAUGUAUGCUGGGGGAUCACUGAUGCUUUAAAAUCGUAUUAAUCACAAUCUGGUUGCCUUUGCUAGAGGUUAAAAACUUGGCCAUAGAUGAAUCUUCAAUACACUGUCCCCAUACAUCCCUACAGGGGUGGAAUUAGCACUAGGCAAAAGCAGACAACUGCCUUGGGAUCCCAGAAGCCAAGGGACCCCUAAAAAUGCAAACUAUAUAUAUAUAUUUUUUUUUAAUUAUUAAUGCUAAAUAAUGCAUGCUGAAAAUUGAAGUAUUGAUGUUAAAACACUGGAAUGAUUUAUAUUGCUGUUAAUUCAGCAGCGACCAGGGGACACUGCUGUGUAGCAGCAAGCAUCACAACAGAGAAAGGAAGCUCAAGAAUAAUCGAGGUAAAUGUUUGUAAUUUAAUAGGGCCCCUAAAUAAAUAAAUAAAUCCACCCCCGCAUCCAGAUCAACAUAAGUGUAUGCAGAUCUCAAAAUGUGCUUUGCUAUAGAGGAUCUGAAUCUGAAACCUGUUAGUUUGAGGCUUGGCCAAACUAACCUUAAAGCACCUUAGAGCACAGUCCACAAGCGCAAACCUCAGAAUAUAAAGGAGUCGGAAAUGUUCUGCUCACCUGAGUGGUCCAAGAUCCUCUACCAGUGUCUCCAAUCUCGUCUUCAUUACGGAGAGAAUCAGUGCUGUUUAUUCAUUUAUUAUUAACAAAAUAUCAAUAGUAUGGGUCCUGAUAAAUUUGAAACCAGUUUGUAGUUGUAUUUUAUUUUUUAAAAAUAAAAACUACAUUAAAUUAAAGCUAAACAGAAUCGCCACAUGUAUCAGUUCAAGAUAUGAAAAUUUCCAUGCAUUAUUCAUGCUUGCUGAUUUGCAUGAAGGGUACAAAUAAUUCUAGAGUUAUAAAACAAUGAUGAAACAAUACACACACAGCCUUUUUCUGCUGUCUAAUGCAGUGUGCCAUCAAAUAUUUAGUUUAAAAAAAAAAAAAAAAAGAUUUUCAAAAAUAUUUGACAAUCUGUGAAAUGUUGAAGCCAGGAUUAGAGCGUUUUGCCUGAAUCGUGAACCACUGCAGUCCUGACGAUGUGACGUGUGAUAAAUCCACUUAGCACACUACAUGAACACCACCUCAUCUCCUUGAUCCCUCUCUGUUUGAUUCCUGCUCCCUGACACACACACACACACACACACACACACACACACACACACACACACACACACACACGAGAGUUGGGGCUAGGCAGGUGAUAAUCUGAUCAGUUAGUCAUUAAACCGAGUCCCAUGGGGUCAGUUCAACUUCAGAGAGGGGACGUGUGGCACCAUGAACUACACGAACAUCCUGAAAUAGAAUGUAGUGACUGGAGGAGAGAAUAUGGAGAGAAGUGGAGAGCAAAAAUAUCAUGGUUUUACAACAAAGGGUAUGGAGAGUGUGAAAAGGUUAAAAGGUUAACCAUUUGAGAAAGAAAGAAAUAAAGAAAGAAUAGGUUAGGAGAGCAGGUGAGGAGAGGAGAGGGCAGGUGAGGUGAAGAGAGGGCAGGUGAGGGCACGUGAGGAGAGGAGAGGGCAGGUGAGGAGUUUUUAGACUCCAGUGUGAAGGGGUGUAAAGUGUGAGGUGUUUGGAGGGAAAUGCACUGAGGGUGGAACUGGGCAUCUCAGACAGCUAACAGCACAAACAAGAAACUACACUGUUCACUCCUUGCUCUUACCUGUACAACGGCGACGGAGUGAGAACACACAACACGGCACAUUUAACACACGAGAGAGCGUUUUAAGAAAAAAAAAAAAGCCUUUAUUUUACAAUUUUAAAAAGCAAUAUUAAGCACAAAGAGUGAACUUUGAUAUAAACUUUUUUUUUCCUGCAUAAAAAUGGUGGCGUGUGCACGUUGUGCUUGCAUUGCAAACUGUGUCCAGCCUCUUGGGGCUCUCGCCGUCUCGCCUUUUUAUUGCAUAUGUCACACGUGACAGACUCCUCGUGGGUCUGCUUCCAGUUCAGGACUGUGCAGAAGACAAGGAAGAGGAGGAGAUGAAGAAACAAGAAAAAAAACAAAAACAAAACCCAAACAGACAGAAAAGAAAUGCACACAGUAGCAGCUCUCUGAAGAAGGUCUUGCACAUUGUCCAGAGGGGGGAAAUAAAACAAUAAUUAUAAACCAACGAAUGAUUAGAAUAAAUUAACAGAGUGACACUCACCGCAGUUGUGCUUUAACGCUGUUUACACAAACAGCUAACCCUAAUUAAAAACACAAAGCAACUCAGAUAUGAAUCAGAGAUUCCUGUGACAGAUAUGCUGCCCCAAGUUUCUAAUUAUUUAGCGCAUAAUGCUAGCUGAACAGUUGCACACAUCCCCAUAGACAGCUGUGAUUAUUAUAUUCUCUCCUCUGUAUCUCUCUCUACUCUAUAGAAAUCUACUCUUACAAAACUAAACCAUAUUACAAGGCAUUUCCCCUUAUAAAGGAAGGCAGAUUCACGCUCCUAUUUAUAUCACCACCAUUCAUCACACAGCAAGUUACUUAAAAAAAAAAUAAAAUAAAAACAAAACACUCAACCUUUAAAGACUUUGGUAUGAACAAAAGAUUUUCAGAUCCUCCUAGUAACGGAAUAAGAUUGUUUCCCUUUGAAGAACCAAGUCCUGUUAUAAUGCUAAGUAUGAAAUGUGCAUAGAAAUAUUCAUGAGAUGAACGUUCACGCCAGUGAAACACCACUGAUAGAAAAUUGAUGUUUGAGGAGAAGACACUCAAAAAAAAAAAAAAAAAAAAAAAAGAAAAAGAAAAAAAAAAAAGUUGUCUCUUAAGAUAAAUCAGUCAUGAGGCGUGAAGUCUCUUACAGAAAACUCCGCCUAAGAAGCAGCGACAAGGUCCCGAGUAAAACUUCCUCACGUCUCCUACAAUCUAUUCUGAGCUUUUACUCUUUAAGUGAACAAUUCUACUGUUGGUAUGUGCGGAGUAAAACGGCCAACGGGCAGCGGGUCAGGCUGGGCAGAACACUGUACUUCUGUGUGUCUUGGCUGAGACUGGGAAAAGAGACUGAGCUCACCAGGGUAAAGGUUCUGCUACUAAGCUUCAGAUAUCCGUGCUUCUGAGGACCACAAGGUGAUCAAGUCAAACACUUACACACCCUCACGCACACACACCUUGGAAAACAUCUCAAUUUAUGAAAGAGCUAUGCUGCACUGGGGAAGGCUUUGCACACUUUACAUUUCUUCCACUAGCUUGCAUUUUGAGCUGAUUAUUUAUCUAUAGAAGAGAAAGACAAAUCUUUCUCAUACCAAGACUUGAAUUACAUUCUCUGGCUUUUUUUUUUUUUUAAUAUAAUAAUUUUGUACUCUUUAUAAAAAACAAAAAAACAAACAAACAAAAAAAAAACAAACAAACAAAAACAAAAAACAAAAACUGCCCUCAUGAGUUACUGAUAAUAUUACACUUUCUCUUAAACAAGAGGGAAAAAAAACCUUUGGUAACACCAACAUUUUACCAGUAACUAGAGCUUGACCAUAAAGGCUUUUUCCAACAGGAGCCAACUGUCAAAGGUCUGCUUUUGUUCAUCCUGAUAUCAAGUUGACGACAUACC
ensembl:lncRNA